rnacentral:rRNA from 1 species
AACGAACGCUGGCGGCAUGCCUAACACAUGCAAGUCGAACGAGACCUUCGGGUCUAGUGGCGCACGGGUGCGUAACGCGUGGGAAUCUGCCCUUAGGUACGGAAUAACUCAGGGAAACUUGAGCUAAUACCGUAUAAUGACUCCGGUCCAAAGAUUGAUCGCCUAAGGAUGAGCCCGCGUAGGAUUAGCUAGUUGGUGAGGUAAAAGCUCACCAAGGCGACGAUCCUUAGCUGGCUGAGAGGAUGAUCAGCCACACUGGGACUGAGACACGGCCCAGACUCCUACGGGAGGCAGCAGUGGGGAAUAUUGGACAAUGGGCGAAAGCCUGAUCCAGCAAUGCCGCGUGAGUGAUGAAGGCCUUAGGGUUGUAAAGCUCUUUUACCCGGGAUGAUAAUGACAGUACCGGGAGAAUAAGCCCCGGCUAACUCCGUGCCAGCAGCCGCCGU